GGCCUAGUAGCGUAACGGUUAACGCGCCACUCUGAUAUACGAUGGUUGUUAGCAUAUUCUUGUGGAGUCCCUCGUUCGAUUCGAGGCUAGGCCG